rnacentral:rRNA from 1 species
UGGCGAACGGGUGAGUAACACGUGGGUGAUCUGCCCUGCACUUCGGGAUAAGCCUGGGAAACUGGGUCUAAUACCGGAUAGGAGCCAUUUUUAGUGUGAUGGUUGGAAAGUUUUUUCGGUGUAGGAUGAGCUCGCGGCCUAUCAGCUUGUUGGUGGGGUAAUGGCCUACCAAGGCAACGAUACGUAGCCGACCUGAGAGGGUGAUCGGCCACACUGGAACUGAGACACGGUCCAG